rnacentral:rRNA from 1 species
GAUGAACGCUGGCGGCGUGCCUAAUACAUGCAAGUCGAGCGAACAGACGAGGAGCUUGCUCCUCUGACGUUAGCGGCGGACGGGUGAGUAACACGUGGAUAACCUACCUAUAAGACUGGGAUAACUUCGGGAAACCGGAGCUAAUACCGGAUAAUAUAUUGAACCGCAUGGUUCAAUAUUUAAAGACGGUUUUGCUGUCACUUAUAGAUGGAUCCGCGCCGCAUUAGCUAGUUGGUAAGGUAACGGCUUACCAAGGCAACGAUGCGUAGCCGACCUGAGAGGGUGAUCGGCCACACUGGAACUGAGACACGGUCCAGACUCCUACGGGAGGCAGCAGUAGGGAAUCUUCCGCAAUGGGCGAAAGCCUGACGGAGCAACGCCGCGUGAGUGAUGAAGGUCUUCGGAUCGUAAAACUCUGUUAUUAGGGAAGAACAAAUGUGUAAGUAACUAUGCACGUCUUGACGGUACCUAAUCAGAAAGCCACGGCUAACUACGUG